GAAACUGUUGGCAACUUGGUUUAACCUGCUUUAAGAGGAUCAGCUAACCUUGGUCCUGACUGAGUGAACAGUGCAGCCCUGAGCCGGAUAAGUCCUUCUCAUCUGUCCUACGGGCAUUCUUCAUGCUUCUCUCUUUUGCUUUGUUAUUGUGCCAGUCUCACACUUGUGCCAGUAUUGGACUGACCAGGCCGGUCAUUUCAUAUGCCUUUAUUUCCACGACCCAGUUAUGAUUUUCUCAGGCCAAAUGUACAAUAGACUUUUUUUUUUUUUUUUUAAACCAGCCAUUCUCCUUUGGCCUAGACGAUCAGUUAGGGCAGCUAAUAUUAAACCUUCUUUGCCUUAAGUUGAGGAGUUUAGAUUUGUAAUUUUGUUUUCAGAUGGGAUGACAGAUAAACGCAAAUUGUUUACUGGUGGCAUUGCACUGUGACCGUCAGAACCAAGGUUUACGUGUGUUUGUGCUUGGCGGGGGGGUUAACGUGGUCGCGUGUGUGAACAAGUGACUGAGAUGGAGAUUUGCCGGCUCCUGACUUUGCAGCGCACAAACACAGCGGCUAAGACUGCGCCUUGCAAAAACAAAACAACAAAAUGACAAAAUGAAGCACACAUAAGAUGUAGUGAAAUGUUUGCUCCCCCCCCCCCCCCCGACCCCUUCUCCAAAUCCAUUCCCUAGCUGUAUGCUAACAACAGCGCUGAAAGACACUGCUUCAGCUCUGUUUCACCUUUUCUAAUUACAGCCGCCUACCUCGGACAGUCGAUUUCAGUGUAAAUAAACAGCCUGUCCAAGAGCCAGAUUUCAGUCACUUUGUAGAUUUGCUGUAUUAAGUCCUCUUACAUUUCCAGAGGCCUUUUUAAAAUAGUGUUGUGUGUUUUGUUUGUUUCAUUGUAGUUUACAUAUAAGUCAACCGUGGGUGCAUUGAACUGUAGUGUUUGACUACUGAGUUGUUUACAAAGGAUUGUGGUACUUUACACUGCGUCCCGUUUAAGAUCAUGGUAUGAUGAGCUCGAAUACGUGCCUACAAGCUUUUAGUGAAGUGCAUUAAGUGGAGGGAUCUCCCAUUUUAAGUGCUUUUGAUGUUCCUUUUUUUUUUCCAAUCAUAUCGUUUACCAGGAUCCCUCUGGAGCUUUGGAUCCAGUCGGGCGAUGUCGACAAGGCUAGUUUCAUAUGAUAGGGUUCUUUAAAAGCCACAAACUGGGCCUCGUGGGUUCAGAGUCGCUGAAUUAAGUGAUAGCACCAGUGAAAUGAGGGAUGGGGCAGUGUCUUUCAGUUCACCUCAGCUAUCUGUUUUCCAAACACUAGACCUACUUUAAAUUGUAAUUGCAA